AACCACUUCAAUCAGCCUUCUUAUGAGCUUACCCCAUUCGACUUCGCUCCCUCACAUGCCUGCACUAGGGAAUUUUUUACCUGGUGGUCUCGACACUAUGAAGGACGCCUGGUUGACAAGACUGCCUUACUCACUGCUAUCUCUAAUGGGUUCGACUCAUCUAUUUUGAACAAGAUUAAGUCGAAAUUGAACGCCAGAGGGAGUAAGUCGAAGGCAGGUUCCAGCGACUCUAGCAAGCCUCUUCCUCCACCAUCUAAGGUUGAACUACAGAUUGCUUCACGCAAGAGGCCUCAUUCAACUGAAACUCCUUCUGUUUCGAAAAAACAAAAGCCUGUUCCAGCCACUUGUUCGAGUGCUCCAGAUAAGGAUAUUCCUGUUCUCUCGACCAUCCCCGAACAGACUACCGUUGUUACUACUCAAGAUCUUUUUCCCAGUGCUGAACCCAUUACUGAUGAGAAAAAGAAAAAGAAGAAGAAGAAGAAAGAACACCAACCCACCCAAGAAAGUACUCCUGAGCGCAAGUCCUCUGAGAUUGAGG